UCGUAUUGUUGAUUUGAAGACGGUGCGCAUAUCGAUGAGGGUAACGAGUGGAGGUGUAACGGCUAUUGAGCGAGUUAGGGGCAGUUUAAUUUAUUUUUUCGUGUGAAAGAGUCGGCCAUAUUUAUCGACGGUCCCUGGCAGUUACGUCACAAGCUAGCAACCGCUUCGGUCAGAAGAGGGGGGAGGGAGAGAAAGAGAGUAGAGGAGAUACCGGCAUAGGACGUGAAAAGCCAUCCAACCGUUGGUCGGGUGAGACGCAACAAGAAAACAGAAAUUAGCAAGAAUAGUAAGUAAGAUUAGCCUCCAUUACCGGAUGGAACAGUAACGGCAAGGUUGGGAAAAACUCUCACGCGACCAAGCGAGUUUAAACUGUUGGAUGUUACCCGAGCUGAAGCGGUUUGUUAGCGUGUUAUCACUUUGUAAUUAAAUCCAAAUUAAGAGUUGGGCUUCGGGUGGUGGAAGUGAAACUAGCUAGCAACGUCCACUGUGGAUUUAAAGAACCGAGACGUUGGUUGAAUUUCAGCGGGACGGGUGACAAGCUGUGAUUCAGACUCACCUGCUAGGACUCUCCUCCGCCACCUCUAGACCUCCACACCGGGGGUAAAAACCACAACCGAGCCUCUUGUAUCUGUACACCGAGGAGAAGGCGGAGGAGGAGGAGGAGGUGGAGAGGGAGAGCACGGCUGGCACAAAGAGCGGAGAGCAUCCAGAGAGAGGGGAGGAAGGAGGACGGGACGGAGAGAGCGCGGUGAGGACAACAACGGGGACCCAACAGAGAGCAUCCCUCUUUAACACCCCGUCUGCACAGGCAACACUCCGCACAUAAGCAUCAUCUGAAAACGGGAUCCUGCGCGCUGUUUAUCUUCCAAAAGGGAUACCUGCUCCUGAUCUGUUUGCCCCUCAGCCCCUGCAGUACCCAGUCCUCCUCUCCACUCUGUCCUGAUGAAGGAGGCCGACGCCAUCAAGCUGUUCGUGGGGCAGAUUCCCCGGAAUCUGGAAGAGAAGGACCUCAAGCCUAUCUUCGAGCAGUUUGGCAAGAUCUAUGAGCUAACUGUGAUUAAGGACAAAUACACUGGCAUGCACAAAGGAUGUGCGUUUCUGACGUACUGUGCGAGAGAGUCGGCACUGAAAGCCCAGAGUGCUCUACACGAGCAGAAAACACUACCAGGGAUGAAUCGGCCAAUCCAGGUGAAACCAGCUGACAGUGAGGGCAGAGGAGGUCUCUCAGAGGACAGGAAGUUGUUUGUGGGCAUGCUGGGGAAGCAACAGAGCGACGAGGACGUCAGACGACUGUUUGAGCCCUUUGGCAGCAUAGACGAGUGUACUGUGUUGAGAGGACCCGACGGCACCAGCAAAGGGUGCGCUUUUGUAAAAUUCCAAGGACAUGCUGAAGCCCAGGCUGCCAUCAACAGCUUGCAUGGAAGCCGCACAAUGCCUGGCGCGUCGUCCAGUCUGGUGGUGAAGUUUGCCGACACAGAGAAGGAGCGGGGGCUGCGGAGGAUGCAGCAGGUGGCCUCCCAGCUCGGCAUCUUCAGCCCCAUGACCCUCAACUUCCCCGCCUACAACGCCUACACGCAGGCAGUCAAUGCACAGCUUGUCCAACAGCAGGCCCUGGUUGCCCAGUCAGCGUACUUGUCUCCUGUGGCAACAGUUGCCGCCGUACAGAUGCAGCAGAUGGCGGCGCUCAAUGCCAACGGAAUCAUUGCCACACCCAUUACACCCAUCACGCCGUCCUCGGGUACAAACACUCCGCCAACUAUCGCAGCGACGCCUGUGCCAGCCCUCCCUCCGCCCCUAGGAGUGAACGGUUACAGCAGUCUGCCAGCCCCCACCAAUGGACAACAAGCAACAGAAGCACUAUACACCAAUGGCGUUCACCCAUAUCAAGCUCAGAGUCCGGCAGCAGCUCUGGACCCCCUACAGCAGGCGUAUGCUGGCAUGCAGCACUACACAGCGGCAUACCCUGCUGCCUACGGAUUGGUUGGGCAGCCGUUCCCCCAGCAGCCAACACUGGUUGCCCAGCAACACCAGCAGCCCCAGCAACAGCAGCAGAGAGAAGGUCCAGAGGGCUGUAACAUCUUCAUCUACCACCUGCCUCAGGAGUUCAGUGACUCUGAGAUGCUGCAGAUGUUCCUGCCCUUUGGCAAUGUCAUCUCGGCUAAGGUGUUUGUCGACCGUGCCACCAACCAGAGCAAAUGCUUCGGAUUUGUGAGUUUUGACAACCCAGCCAGCGCUCAGGCCGCCAUCCAGGCCAUGAACGGCUUCCAGAUCGGCAUGAAAAGACUGAAAGUGCAGCUCAAAAGGCCCAAAGACGCCAACCGCCCAUACUGAGUGACAGCUGAGACGAAGGAGAAGAACUAAAGAGAGAUCCUCCCGUCCAAUCAUAAUUCACGAGGACCCCAUCGCUAUGGCAAUGGUUGCCUAGUGACCGAUAAAGCCCCGACCCCCCCUUCCUCUCGCAUUGUUGUGACCUUUCAGAGUCCAGCCGAGGUGGAAUCCCAGGGUUCAUAGUGCUUUCAGACUGUCUGCUACCUUUGAGCGUCCGGGGAGUGCAGCCACACACACAUACACACACUCACACAAUACACAUGCACUCUCAACACUGAACCUCAAACGGUACAAGGCUGAUAUACAAAUGUACAUAAAGUGCACAGAUACACACACACACACACACACACACGCCUGCAGACACUCACACACGGUUCACACGAGUCAGUAAUCUUACCCAUACGGCCGAGAGCUUGGUUUGACCACGGUCUGUGUGUCGCCAACAGGGUGUUUAGUUCAGUUAAGACAACUCAGACCGAGCAUGUAUGGAAGGUACUGAUGAAAAAUGCUGAUAUAUCACUUCAAUAGACUUUAACGUGUCUAUACCAUGUCUAUUCCAUGACAAAUAUAGAGGGGCCGAUGUUUCAUAAUAAAAAAAAGGUGAGAAAAUACAAAAAAGACGACUAAAUGAGUAGGUUAGAGAGACUUUGGAGAAAAUCCUAAUGACCUGUAAAUAAUUUAGUUUACAAAGAGCAGCAUUUAAAAAACAAGAAAAAAUGCAAAAAGAAUACUACUUUAGAUAAACACUGAACAGGACACAGCGACAUUAUUAUUAUUAUUAUUAUUAUGAUUAUUAUUAUUACCACUAGUAACAUCAUGAUCCUCAUAAAGGGAUAUUACAUUCCAAAUUGUAAAAUGGGAAAUCACUAACCUAUUUUAAAUUUCUACUUAGAUUUUAGGUGAAGCUCGGGGGAGGGGGGGAUUGCACUUUUAUUCGGGAGGUUUUAAUAUUUGAGCUAUUUUUUAUUUAUUUACUAAUUUAUCAAUUAUUUUGUUUAUCGGGAGAAGGGGUUUGAGUGGGUUGCAAUAUUUUGAUUUUAGAAUUUUCUAGAGCAAAAACCUUUUGAGGGCCUGUUUCUGUCAGACUCUUGCAAUCGAGUAAUUAUAAUGUAUGUAUUAAUUAUUACAGCAAUUAUAUUUAUUUCUAAUUUAUUGAAUCCUGUUUUUGAUCCACUCUCUUUUUAAGUUAAAAUAAAAAGUAUCAUACUAAA